UAGCUCAGUUGGUUAGAGCGCCGGCCUGUCACGCCGGAGGUCGCGGGUUCGAGCCCCGUCACUCGCGCCA
rnacentral:tRNA from 1 species